UUGACUGGAUCGAAUCAAGUGGCGAAGAAUUAUCAAAUCACCUACAUGCCAUACCUACCGAUUUACAGUUUACUAGCACUACGAAAAAGAAAAUAAGUGAUUUUACUUUAUUCUUGAAUGAAGUGUCCUGUAUUACACACUAUUAUAUUUGUUCGAUGAUACGCACAUGCUAUAGUCUGAAAUUAUCCAUGUCUACAAUCUCAAAUUUCAGUUGUUUAUGAUAUUACACUUUUGAUGGUGGCUGAUUGCGUCCCGGGUAUUGACGUUUAUUUCAUGUAUCUACAUAGAAACUUAGCUUUCUAAUGUUGUUUGUGUACGCUAAUCAUGGGCGUGUUGUCUAGAAGUGAAUAGUAAAAAAUAUCAACUGUAAUAGUGCAACUGUGGUUAUUUAUUAUGUGAUAUGAGUUUGCAUUGAUGUGGCAAACCGGAUUACACCAAGCUGGAGAAAACGUGACGCUGUUGUAAGAUGGGCGAUCGCGCACAACUACCGGGCGGCGUUUUGCCAGCGUCGGGUGACAUGUGCGACUCCAAGCUCCAGAAAUUCGGCAAGCACCCUUUAGUCCGUUUACAAGAACGAGUAUAUACAUGUCGUUGCUGCGAUUAAUGAACAGAUGUAACGAUCAUCCAAAUUGCUAAUAAAAAAUAAAAAAUUGGAACGGUGCGGUUUGCCAUUGACAGAUGGAAUUCUGUUCUUGCUUGUUAGUAAGUUUAACCUAGGGCUUUUCAAGUCAAUGUAUAGUAGACUUUUACUGUGUUUGUACAUAACACCAGAUCUUAAAUGUUGAGUAGUGUGUUAUUUGAAGUUUUAUCUGAAGAAGUCUAUAUACAUACAAUGAGCUUUUUCUACGAAUAAGAUUAAUUAAAUAAAUCUGUAGAUUGACUAUGAAAAACUCUGGCUAAAACUUCGUGACCUAGACAAAACAUAACCUAAACUGAAAUAGUUAGUAUAAACGAUCAUGAUGAAGUUUUAUGAGAGUGAUUUAUUUUUUGAGACUAUAGAAUGGGUA